rnacentral:rRNA from 1 species
GGACCCGCACAAGUAGUGGAGCAUGUGGUUUAAUUCGAAGAUACGCGCAGAACCUUACCAACACUUGACAUGUUCGUCGCGACUUUAAGAGAUUAAAGUUUUCGGUUCGGCCGGACGAAACACAGGUGCUGCAUGGCUGUCGUCAGCUCGUGUCGUGAGAUGUUGGUUAAGUCCCGCAACGAGCGCAACCCUCACUUUUAGUUGCCAUCAUUAAGUUGGGCACUCUGAAAGAACUGCCAGUGAUAAGCUGGAGGAAGGUGGGGAUGACGUCAAGUCCUCAUGGCCCUUACGUGUUGGGCUACACACGUGCUACAAUGGUAUCUACAACAGGAAGCAAAACAGCGAUGUUAAGCAAA